AGCAGCCGCGGUAAUUCCAGCUCCAAUAGCGUAUAUUAAAGUUGUUGCAGUUAAAAAGCUCGUAGUUGAAUUUCGGGAUCAAUAUGUUGGUCGUGCCUUGGUACGUACUGGCAUUAUUGGUUUCUACCUUCUGAAGAACCUCGAUGUCAUUAAUUUGGUGUCUUGGGGAAUCAGGACUGUUACUUUGAAAAAAUUAGAGUGUUUAAAGCAGGCUCGCGCUUGAAUACAUUAGCAUGGAAUAAUGAAAUAGGACGUUUGAUUCUAUUUUGUUGGUUUCUAGGAUCGACGUAAUGAUUAAUAGGGAUAGUUGGGGGCAUUAGUAUUCAAUUGUCAGAGGUGAAAUUCUUGGAUUUAUUGAAGACUAACUACUGCGAAAGCAUUUGCCAAGGAUGUUUUCAUUAAUCAAGAACGAAAGUUAGGGGAUCGAAGACGAUCAGAUACCGUCGUAGUCUUAACCAUAAACUAUGCCGACUAGGGAUCGGAUGAUGUUAAUUUUAAUGACUCAUUCGGCGCCUUAAC
rnacentral:misc_RNA from 1 species